AGCAGGGUAAGCUAACAAAGCUAUCGGGCCCAUACCCCGAAAAUGACGGUCCACCCCCUCCCCUGCUA
rnacentral:tRNA from 1 species